CAACGACAAGAGCCCCCCCCUACCCGCCCCAUUGCGGGGCCUCACCGCCGCUCCUUUUGGGGCCGUUUCCUCCGAUUCGAUGAAUUCCGCCUCCAGCCUCACCACGCUCCGGCUGCUUCGCCUCAUUGCCUUCCAUUCCUUCUUUUUCCUCUCUGCUUUCCACAUCUUCUCUUCUCUGGGCCCUAUUCUUCCUCUCUCUUCACCGAAUUUCCUCUUUUCUUCCAGUCCUUUUUUUUCCUCUAAAUUUCUCCUCCCUGCCUCGUCGCCGCCUUCGCUCUUCCACUCCCGGCUCCAAAAAAAAUCCCAAAUCUUCCUAAAACGCCCCCAAAAAAACCAGCUCCUCCGGGAAACCGAAACUCCUCUCCUCCUGC
rnacentral:lncRNA from 1 species